GGAGAUGUAUCGAAGCGGUCAUAACGAGGUUGUCUCGAAAACAAUUAGGCGAUGAAAGUCGCCCCGUGGGUUCGAAUCCCACCAUCUCCGCCA
rnacentral:tRNA from 1 species